AAGUCGUAACAAGGUUUUAACACGUAUAAAACAACCCCACGACCGGAUCACCGGGCUCUGCCCCUUUACGACAACACAGUACGAAUUGGCCGCGCGUGAAAUUCGGCACCAAAAAUUGAACAACUGUUAACAAUGGAUAUCUUGGUUCUC
rnacentral:misc_RNA from 1 species